rnacentral:rRNA from 1 species
AGCGAACGCUGGCGGCAGGCUUAACACAUGCAAGUCGAGCGGGCACUUUCGGGUGUCAGCGGCGGACGGGUGAGUAACGCGUGGGAACGUGCCCUCUGGUUCGGAAUAACUCAGGGAAACUUGAGCUAAUACCGGAUACGCCCUUUUGGGGAAAGGCUUGCUGCCGGAGGAUCGGCCCGCGUCUGAUUAGCUAGUUGGUGAGGUAACGGCUCACCAAGGCGACGAUCAGUAGCUGGUCUGAGAGGAUGAUCAGCCACACUGGGACUGAGACACGGCCCAGACCCCUCCGGGAGGCCGCAGGGGGGAAUAUGGGACAAUGGGCGCAAGCCUAAUCCCCCCCUGCCGGGUGAGUGUUGAAGGCCUUAGGUUUGAAAAGCUUUUUUUCCCGGGACGAAAAGGCGGGUACCGGGGGAAAAAGCCCCGGCUAACUUCGU